UGUUUGCACGCUGAACGUCUUUUUCCUCCCCAGAGCUCAUCUAUGUUUCUGACUACGAAGAGACAGAAUAUGGAUUUUAUACGGUUUGGUGAAAGAAAUAUACCCUUGGCUGUGGGCCAGAGGCAAGCCUUUUCCGCCUGUGCAGCUCAGCUGGUGGCAGUGACUUUUUUCUACAGCACAACUGGCAUCAUUCACCUGCGACCCAAGUACAGCCUCUCAUAUGACAGGAAGAGAAUGGCUUCCCUGUCUUACACAAUUCUCACCCCCAUGCUCUGUUCCAUCACCUGCAGCUUGAGGAAUCAGAAAGUCAAGCAAAGCCUGAAGAGGUUGUGGUGACCACAGGAGGCCCUGAUGCCUGGGAGAAGGCAAACAUCACCCCCCUCUUUGAGAACAGCAAGAAGGAGGAGCUGAGGAACUACAGUCUCACCUCUAGUACCUGGGAAGGUGAUGGAAUAAUCCCUUCUGGUAGUCGUUUUGAGGUCCACGAAGAACAAGGAGGUGGUGGGAACAGCCAGCAUGAAUACAACACGGGCAAAUCAGGCCCGAUCAAUUUGACUGACUUCUGUGAUGAGAUAACUGUCUGGAUAGACAUGGGAGGGCAGUGGAUGUUGAGUACCUUAAUUUGAGCAAGGCCUUCAGCACAAUCUCCUACGGACGCCUUAGACCUAAAUUUGGAAGAUAUGCUCUGGGCAAGUGGAUAAUAAUGACAGUGGUCAGGAUUACCAGGCUCCAAUGGCUACGUGGCAAGAGAUCCUGCUAGCAGCUAGUUACCAGUGGUAAUUCUCAGGGACCAGUACUGUGGCUAGUACGGUUUAAUUUCUGUUUUGAGAACCUGAGUGAUGGAAUAGAGCGCACUCUCAGCAUGUUUGCUGAUGCUUCCAAACUGGAGCGAGUGGUAAUGCACUGGAGGGAAGAGACUGUCCUGAGGGGGACAUUGACAGGCCAGAAAAGUGGUCUGACUGGAACCUCCUGAAGCUCCAGAAAAACAAAUGAGGACUUGGACAUCUGGGAAGACAGAAACAAUCCCACACAACGGGGCGGGCCAGAGGGAUGACUAGGUAGAAAGCAGCUUUGAAGAAAAAGCCACUUUUGGGGGUUAGGUGGACAAGAAGUGGAAGGUGUGCCAGCAGCAUGCCCUAGCUUCAUGGAAGUUCAAAAUCACCUUGGGGUGCACUGGCAAGAGCACAGGCAGCCAGUGGAGGGGAGUGAUCUCUUUGGCACUUCUGAGAUCAUUGUCUGGAAGAAUGUGUCCAAUGUUGGACUACCCAGUACGGGAAAGACGUUACCUAGUGGAGUGAGUCCAGUAGAGGAACACAGGGACACUCGGGUGAUUCGUGGUCUGACACACCCCAAGGGCAAGGCAGGGCUGGGAGACUGGGUUUCUUCAUCCUUGUCCCUUCCUAGGGGAAGGGGAUCAUCUUACUGUCAGCACCUACUUAGUGUGGGGGUGGAUUCUCUCAGAGAAGACGGAGGCAAAUCAUUCUCAGAGGAGCACGGUCGUAAGAUGCAAGGUGAUGGGUGCAAGUUGGAACAUGGUAAAUUUGGAUUAGAUACUGAGGGAUACUUUUUCACCUUUAGGGUGUUCAGACUUGGAAGAGGCUGCCCAGAGAGCUUGCCCAAACGUCCUUGAAAUUGUUGAAAACUUUACCGGACAAGACCCUACCCAGUUGUCCUGCUUUGAGCAGGGGCAGGCCCGAGACUGCAGAGGUUUCUUCCAACCUACAUUAUUGUGUAUGUCUACAAAACUACACCGAACACACUGUGUUUUCAAACCCGCAAUUGGGCUGGAGGAGAGCUGCCAGGAACUUUACGGAAGAAAUUUUAAAGCCACCUUCCUAGAAAGAGGCCUCUGUAUGAUUCAGAAGUUCCUGUGGGAUUUACAGACCGACUUCUGAACUACUUGGACUAGAAUUGAACAUGUUACUUCUGUAAACAGUUGUGGAAAUUAUUGCACCGGAUUGAAAAUGAAGCUUAAGAAAGAUGCAAAUCUGGGAUGGUUUUGACUAUGAAGGGGCCAGAAACUCCUCCUUAUCUCUGAAAUGCCAAUAAAAAUAAAACUUCAGAAAUCCUAACACAUCUGAAUGGAUGGAACACAUACUAGGUUUUGCAAAUUCUAAUAUUUGGAAGAGAUUUAGGAAACGUUGCCUAAACACUGCUCCAGCUCAGCUGAGGUUGCACGACCCAUGCCUCUCUUGCCAGUAGAAAUUUCAACCAUCAAAUCCGUGCACCGAGAUGGAGAUAUGUCAUCAGAGGUUUCAGGUACAGCUUGCAAAGCUUCCUCCUUGCAUCCUACCUGAAUAAGUACAAGCCCCUGGGAACUUGCGGUAGUCCUUUUCAUCACACCUGCAGUAUUAAUCUCUCAGCUAGAAGAAUGCCAAGUAGAUAUGGAGGGAAAAGGGAGAACAGAAUUUAUCAGUCUUUUAACUCCGCAGAAUAAGUUGUUUUGUCCUCAGGUUUGCUUUCUGGCUCACUAUCAGAGGGCCCUACUACAAGGAGGAAAAUGCUGAUUGGUAGUGAGGUGAGCUUUGUGCAGAAUUAUCUUUUUUCUAUUAUGCAAUUUAUGUAGUUGGAAAAAUAGGCAGGCUUCAUCAGUCUUUUCUUUGUGUUUGCAUUUAAGGGAGAACCUUCUAAUUGAAAUUGCCUCUAUACCUCUUCAAAUACAGGUGACUGACUAAAAUUUUGAUAAGGCUAUAAUAUUAUCAAAUCUGAUGCUGCCAGCAGAACUUCUUCAAAGAUCAGACUAAAAGUAUUUUCAGAGAAAUUUGAUCAGGUUUUUAGAGUGGAUGCAUAUGUGCGUAAAUUACCUUUAGGCUACGUGCUCAUGGUCUUUUAUUAUGAAAUCAGUUUAGAAGCUUUCUGUUUGUUUACUGGUUUUAUGUUGAAACAAUAAGCUAAAGAAACAUGAGAAAAAGAGUGACUGGGCUGGAGAGCUAUCAUAAGGACUUUCAGAAAUCCCCUGUUUUCAAUAAAAGCAUAUAGUUCAGUGAAAUGGACAAGAAAGACUAUGAAAUGUAUCUAUAGGUGUUUUACGUUCUUGGCAAGAAAUAUUUUGGAAGUGAUUCUUUUUUUCAUUCGUCGUAUUCAUCAAUAUUAAUCAUCACUGCAUUGAAUGUACAGAGAAAACAACUUGUCUUGUACAAUUUGCAGUCUAUAUGGUAAGCUAGAAAUACCUGCCCUUGUAAAAAAAGUACCUGCCUACCUGCCCUUGUAAAAAUAUCUCAGGACUUUGUUCUUUAUUGUCUAUGGCUGGGACUUGCCCAUAGCGAUAAAGAAACUUAUCUGAAACAGAAAAAAAGAGUGAAAGCUAGUGCUUACUCGUUCACGUUUGAGGAGAGGAGCGAUCCUGUCAGAACUGAUCAGAUUGUCUCAGUGGGGCAGGACAAUCAGUUUUCAGUGGGAUGAACAAAUCUGUCUGCAACUCACACCAGCAAACUCAGCUCCUGCAAAUUCAGCCUUGCUCCAUCACAGUGUUGUAGGAGACGAGAUUGCUGCCUUUCGUCCCAUUCAUCUGCUGCUGAUCAACAAAAAGACGUUCUCUAGGCAAAGCAUACAGUCCCAUAACAAAACCAGUUUGUGAUCACAUGCUAAAGCAUCCUCUCCUUUAUUCUCGGAAACAUGCAGAAGAAAGGCUGAUGAUUCCGUGGUACCCGGGAGCACCUUCUGGUGGUUGUUGAUCAAAAUUGGAAAUUGUGUAAUUUUUAAGAUCAAAGAACUCUCUGGAAGAGAUGGUAGCCAUUAGAAAGGUGAAAGUUGAAGCUGGCUUAAUGAAAUCUAGGCACAGUAUUAGAAAGACAGCAUUGGGCCUGAUUCACAUUAUGAGUUAGAAGCUUUAUUGGUGACAUUGGUGACAUGAAAGGUUGUACCAGCAAGUUACAGAUGAGCAGAUUUGAAAUGUGAAUGUGGCUGAAGGUGAAGGAGCAGCAAUGUUUUGCAUCUUACAUGUCCUGCUGUUUGCUAGAUGUAAGUUUCUGUUUGAAUAUUUUCCCCUCUAACAUUUUACUCUGUCCUAGACAGAAGGUAGAAGACUACAUCAAAGUUCUUUUUGUCCAUGUUAAUUACUUGAAUUUCUA